rnacentral:misc_RNA from 1 species
UAAUAAGUGUUUUAUGGCACUUUUAAAUCCAUAUCCACCUUGUGUGCAAUGUCAGUCGAUCUUCUUCAUGGAGAUCGACCAAACAUCAACCUUUAUCUUUUAACUCUUUCGUCUGAAAAAUAUUAUGAAUAAACAAUUCAAAAUA